UCGAAACAUCACUUUUUUUUUUUUUCAACUCCGACUCCGUCUUUUUUGUUUCUUUCUCUCUCGACGGCGACUUGUUUCAUCUUCGACUCCCGGCGAAAUUCUCAUUUUUUUUUGCUCCCGUUGAUUAACCAAUCUCCAAUCGAAGCUUCUGAUUAAACAAUCUUAGUCGGUUACGUUGAUUAAGCAAUCAGAACAACAAAUCCGAGCUUCUGAUCAAUCGACGAGGUUUGUGGAUAUGAAACCGUUGAGAGUCUUCUCCACCAAAUCGAAGCUUUACCUUCACUGCUACUGGAGAAUUUGACUAACCAAUCUCCAUCUUAUGGGUUCCAUCGGUUCUCUUGUCAUCGUUGGUGUGACUCCGUUUUUUUUUUUAAUUUUCACGUCUCACAGGUUGUUUGCAAGGGGGACUCAUCGCACACACUUAGUUUCGUGAUGCAAGUCUUUCUUAUAAUUCAUCCCACUGGAUUGUAAAUACCCCCGUUUGAGCUUUCCGGUCUCCACAUGGCAGGGCUACUAUAACAAUGUAAGUGCCUUUUGAUUUCAUUUUAUUUUUACUCUACCACUUUCCUUUGAAUUUUUUUGUCAUCUUUCUUUGUUCUAAUGCACCAUACUAUUGCAAGUCUUCCAUGUCUGUAACUGUAAUGACCAAAUUGAUUUAGCAUCAUGUUUUAGUUUAUAACAUAAUUUUUCAACACAGCUUGGUUAUGAAUGAGCUUUUCCAGUUUUGUUUACAUUGUUUAGGUGCAUACAUACGGUGUCCAUUAGAUAGUCUGUCCCAUGAGUGCCAGAGCUUGUUGGAGCUCAUUGGAGCUCGUUGGAGCUCAUUGCCAUCUAUGCUCUGCCAUUGCCAUCUAUGCUCUGCCUCCUCACCACGAUAUUUACUCUAUAGAGGAUCUUGCUCAGUUGAUCUUUGAUCUACACCACGUAAUAAACAAACAGAUUAAUCUAAAUGCAAAAAUAUCAGUCAAGCUGGUCGCAGAAGCUGGAAUUGGAACAGUUGCUUCUGGAGUUGCAAAGGGUAACGCUGAUAUCAUUCAGGUACCAACUUGAGAACAAAACAUUGCCUCUUUUUUCUUCCAUGUAUUAUUGUACCAAGAAAUUUCAUUGUUCUUUUUGAUAUGAUUUUCAGAUACAGGGCAUGAUGAUUUUUGUAACAUUGUAAUUUUCUUAUGUUUUUAAUGUCAAUGUUAUAUGUUUUA